rnacentral:rRNA from 1 species
UACAUGGGGUGCAAACGUUGCUCGGAAUUAUUGGGCGUAAAGCGCACGUAGGCGGUUCGUUAAGUCGGACGUGAAAGCCCUCGGCUCAACCGAGGAAGUGCAUCCGAAACUGGCGAGCUAGAGUACGAAAGAGGGUCGCGGAAUUCCCGGUGUAGAGGUGAAAUUCGUAGAUAUCGGGAGGAACACCAGCGGCGAAGGCGGCCUUCUGGACGGUGACUGACACUGAGACGCGAAAGCGUGGGGAGCAAACAGG